CCUACGGGCGGCUGCAGUGGGGAAUAUUGGACAAUGGGCGCAAGCCUGAUCCAGCCAUGCCGCGUGUGUGAAGACGGCCUUCGGGUUGUAAAGCACUUUCAGUGGGGAAGAAAGCCUUGGGGCUAAUACCCUCGAGGAAGGACAUCACCCACAGAAGAAGCACCGGCUAACUCCGUGCCAGCAGCCGCGGUAAUACGGAGGGUGCGAGCGUUAAUCGGAAUUACUGGGCGUAAAGCGCGCGUAGGCGGUCUGGUAAGCCGGUUGUGAAAGCCCCGGGCUCAACCUGGGAACGGCAUCCGGAACUGUCAGGCUAGAGUUCAGCAGAGGAAGGUAGAAUUCCCGGUGUAGCGGUGAAAUGCGUAGAGAUCGGGAGGAAUACCAGUGGCGAAGGCGGCCUACUGGACAGACACUGACGCUGAGGUGCGAAAGCGUGGGUAGCAAACAGGAUUAGAUACCCCUGUAGUC
rnacentral:rRNA from 1 species